AAGUGUUGAUACAGAGCAUAUGGCAAGCAGUCCACAAAAGCAGUAAACCAUUGAAAUAAAUUGGAAAGUAAACUAUAUUCUAACAAUCAUGGAUCCAAACAGAUCAGCUAAAGACUUGCUUGUAUAUCUUCGGGCAAUUGUCAAUAAUAGCACCUUUUGAAGUUUAUUUCUCAAAAAGAGCACUAGAAGGAGAAAGUCACAAAAAUGACAUUCGUUGAAGGGAGAAGUACCAGGACUACUUGAAGCUCAAAUCAAGAGUUGAAAUCCUACAACAUUCAGAACGGCAUUUGCUAGGUGACCCGGUAUGGGAGUGGAUGAGCUUGAGCAGCUAGAACUUUAAGUAGAUACAUCACUAAGGCAAAAAUGAUCCACAAAGUUGGAGGAAAGUGAUGCAGCCCUUAAUCAAUCACUAUGGGGAGCUUCUUCUUCCGCAGAACAUCAUCAACAACAGCAACAACAAGGGAUGAGCUCUUAUCAAGCAAACAUUCCGAGUUAAGAAGCAGGUUUCUUCAGGCCUUUACAUGGGACGUUUGUUUGUUUUUAUGGAAAGAUCAUUACAAUCAUUUGUAUGACAAAUGCAAGCAACUCUGCAACAUCACAUAAUAUUAUUAACGGGUUCUUCCGUGGAUGGAUGGUCUGAAAAAAUUCAUAGCAAUCUAUACGUAUGUGUUCUAUAGAUAACAUAUCAUGGUUGUGCCAUUUGGUUUUUCCAAGAGAACAAUAGUUCAUGACUACAAAACACUGAUA